GUGCUCACUUUGGCAGCACGAAUACUAAAAUUGGAACAAUACAGAGAAGAUUAGCAUGGUCACUGCACAAGGAUGACUCACAAACUUGUGAAGCGUUCCAUUCUUUA
rnacentral:snRNA from 1 species